UAAUUGAAGAGUUUGAUCAUGGCUCAGAUUGAACGCUGGCGGCAGGCCUAACACAUGCAAGUCGAGCGGCAGCACAGAGGAACUUGUUCCUUGGGUGGCGAGCGGCGGACGGGUGAGUAAUGCCUGGGAAAUUGCCCGGUAGAGGGGGGAUAACCAUUGGAAACGAUGGCUAAUACCGCAUAACCUCGCAAGAGCAAAGCAGGGGACCUUCGGGCCUUGCGCUACCGGAUAUGCCCAGGUGGGAUUAGCUAGUUGGUGAGGUAAGGGCUCACCAAGGCGACGAUCCCUAGCUGGUCUGAGAGGAUGAUCAGCCACACUGGAACUGAGACACGGUCCA
rnacentral:rRNA from 1 species